UAUUGCUACGGAAAAUGUUCCGUCGCAAUUAAGUCUAAUCAUUUGCGACGGAAAAUCUUUGCCGUAGUAACUUUGUAAUCAAUUGCUACGCCUUUUCCUCUUGCCGUCGCAUAACUUAUUUCUAUUUCCCCUUACAUCUCGAUCUGUAGCCAUAAUUAGCCCAAGCUCUCUCUGUCUCUAUCUCGCCCAAGCGCUCUCUUUCUCUCUCUUCUCGCCCAAGCUCACCCAAGCUCUCUCUCUCUCUCUCUCUCUUCAGAACUUGGGUUUCUGUCUUCGUCCAAACUCAGGUUCCAAGGGCCUGAGGAUCCACGACAACCCUGCUCUCGAGCACGCCUCCAAGGCCUCCAAUUUCCUCUACCCGGUCUUCUUCAUCGAUCAACACUGCAUGAAUCCCGACCCGAACGCACCCUCGGCCGGAUCCUCCAAGGCCGGCCUGAACCGAAUCUGGCGCUCAUUAGGUUUGAGUUAAUUUUCGAUCCAUGAUAGAUUCCCAAAUGCCCAGGAAGAAAUUUUGGUUUCCAAAUCGGCAAGCUGAGCAUGGCUCUUAUUUUCAGUUCAUCUUCACCACUCUACUUUGCCUCGUUUUGGAAAGUGGUGCUGCUAGGUGGGUAAUUUUAUUAACAAUUGAAGAAUGGCCGAUAGCAUGAAGCAAUUCCAGAAAAUCUUAAUUGAGCAUGAGACUCAAGCUGAGCACCUCUUUCUAGCUAAACACCAGGUUCAGCGAAUAAUUACUAGUUGUAGAGGUUUUGGUUUCCGGUACAUUUGGUUAAACUGGUGAGAUAUUCUUUUAGCAGAUGAUGAAGAAUCACACAGUAAGUCUGCAUAAUUAUUAAAGGGUUCACUGAACUCGUAGUCCAAAAUUAUUAAAGGUUUUGGUCACCCCACCGCUUCACUCCUCUCUGAGUUUAACUCUCUUAAAUUUCCUCUCGGUGCUGCAAGAAAGAGGUACAAACCAAGACCCAUGAGGGCUGAAAGAGGCAAUGAGUUGCAUAAUGGGAAGUUGAUUGUGCAGAAUUGGGGAUUUCGGAGUUGGCCUGAUGGGAUUCAGUCAAUGGCUAUCCCACUAAGUCUGCUGUGGGGUUGCUUUAUCAAUAAUGCGAUCACCUGCCUUCUCUCUCCUCUGAUCUUGUUCACAUCCCCACCCCUGAUACUCACUGCAACAGAUGCCAGCACCCAAGUGAGAACUGGUUAUGUUUGUGCUGUAAGGAAGUCCUCUGCAGCCGUUUUGUAAACAAGCAUAUGCUGCAGCAUUAUCAGCAGAUAAAUCAUUGUGUUGCUCUUAGCUACAGGCAGUGAUCCUGUUGUGAUUGUAAAUUAUUGAUGAAGCAAGAUGAGCUAGAAGUUGAAAGAAAGUUGAGAAAGCUUUGGCUGAUCUUUGUUUUUUAACAACCUUUGGUUGGUCUUAGAAUUGUGAUUGUUGGUUGGUUAUAGAUGAUGGGUUUCAUAAUAUUUUUCAAUUUAUGAUAUUUGCUGCA